GACGAACGCUGGCGGCGUGCUUAACACAUGCAAGUCGAACGGAAAGGCCCUGCUUUUGUGGGGUGCUCGAGUGGCGAACGGGUGAGUAACACGUGAGUAACCUGCCCUUGACUUUGGGAUAACUUCAGGAAACUGGGGCUAAUACCGGAUAGGAGCUCCUGCUGCAUGGUGGGGGUUGGAAAGUUUCGGCGGUUGGGGAUGGACUCGCGGCUUAUCAGCUUGUUGGUGGGGUAGUGGCUUACCAAGGCUUUGACGGGUAGCCGGGCUGGGAGGGUGACCGGCCGAGAUGGGGCCUGGGUUCAGGCCGGACGCCGAGGGGGGGGAGGAGGGGGGAAGGGUGGCAGAAGGGGGGGAGGCCGAGGCGCGCGGGCCGGGGGGCGGGGGGUGGGGUUCCGGUUUGGACCGCGGUUCCGCCGGGGAGGGGGUGGGGGUGAGGGUAGUGGGUAAAGAAGCCCCGGCUAACUCCGGC
rnacentral:rRNA from 1 species